GUGAACGCUGGCGGUAGGCCUAACACAUGCACGUCGAACGGCAGCACAGUAAGAGCUUGCUCUUACGGGUGGCGAGUGGCGGACGGGUGAGGAAUACAUCGGAAUCUACUUUUUCGUGGGGGAUAAUGUAGGGAAACUUACGCUAAUACCGCAUACGACCUACGGGUGAAAGCAGGGGAUCUUCGGACCUUGCGCGAUUGAAUGAGCCGAUGUCGGAUUAGCUAGUUGGCGGGGUAAAGGCCCACCAAGGCGACGAUCCGUAGCUGGUCUGAGAGGAUGAUCAGCCACACUGGAACUGAGACACGGUCCAGACUCCUACGGGAGGCGGCAGUGGGGAAUAUUGGACAAUGGGCGCAAGCCUGAUCCAGCCAUACCGCGUGGGUGAAGAAGGCCUUCGGGUUGUAAAGCCCUUUUGUUGGGAAAGAAAAGCAGCAGGUUAAUACCCCGCUGUUCUGACGGUACCCAAAGAAUAAGCACCGGCUAACUUCGUG
rnacentral:rRNA from 1 species